AGGAAAUUAAAGCAAAAAAAAAAAAAAAAAUAAAUAAAAUAAAACGAGAUAAAAUAAAACGAAAUAAAAUAACACAAACAAGUACACACCACACAAAGAAAAUAAAUAGAAACUUAUUAGCUACCAUCGCAUUUCAUUUAAUUAUAAAAAUAAGCGUUUUUGCGAUAGUAAAAAAAAAGUGGCGCAUGCUUCAACAAAUGCGACAAACAUAAAAAACACUUGAAGUAAAACAACGUAUCAUGCUCAGAUCGAUUUACACAGUCCUUAUGAAUUGUUUUCUAUUCUUAUCUACUAAUUAUAUUUUUAAUUUUGAGUAUGUAAAAUGUCAAAAGGAAAAUAUUUCUAUUAUUAAAGUAGUUCCUGAUAUUAUAAGUAAUAAAAAAAAAAAUUAUAUAAAAAAGCAAAAGAAACAUUUUUUCAUACCUCGAAAUAUAAACCUUAAAACAAACGACUUAUUAUUAAAGAAGUACAUCCAUAUAUCAUCAAAUAAAUUAAAAAAAAACAAACUCUCAUAUAAAAAUAGUAAAACGCACACUUGGUACAAUCAUAAACACAUGUAUGUGUUUGUAAAAAAUAUAACAAAACAUAAAAUUUUUAAUAAUGACACAGAACAGCAGUUUAAUUUUUUAAGUAAUAACAAAAAUGAUAAAAAUGGUUUAAAUAUUCAUACAUUAGAAGACGAAAAUAAGUCGACAGAACUAAAGCAGUCACAUGAAGAACAAAAAGCGGUUAAUUUUCAACAACAAGAAAAUGAGCAACAACAAGAAAAUGAGCAACAACAAGAAAAUGAGCAACAACAAGAAAAUGAGCAACAAGAAAAUGAGCAAACCCAAGCGGAACAACUAAUACAAUGGCAAAAACACCAAGAGGAAAAAAGAAAAAAUGAAAUAUUAAAAGAUCUGUAUAUCAAGAAAAAAAUGCAUUUAUUAAGACAAAGAGGGAACAAAAAGGGGUCAAAUUUAUAUCCUAAUCAGAAUAUGACAAUGAGAAAGAAGGAAGGAGUAGCAGAUACAUCAGAGCUAAUGGAAGGGAUGGAAUAUAUGGAAGAAACGGAAAUUAAAAACAAGAAUGAAAGUGGUAACGAAACAGAUGAUGAAUAUGACGAAGAUGAUGAUGAACAGUAUUUUGAUGAUUUUAAUUAUGAGUUUGAUGAAAAAGAAGAAAAAAAAAAAAAAAAUUUGAUCAACGAAUCAAGCAAUGACACAGACCAUUAUAAUAGCAACAAUUAUAACACUAACAACCAUACUAAUAAUAAUAACUUCAUGAAUAAAUAUAGUGACGUUUAUGAUGAUAAAAAAGAAAGUGAUAUAUCUGAUCCUUUUAACACACAAAAUAUUAAUGAAAACAUUAAUAAUAUAUUUAUUUCAAAAAAAAAUAAAAAUUUACCAUUAUUUUCUUCUAUCAAUAAUAAAUUUACUGAAAAUAGUAAUAAUAAAUAUUUUAAUAAAAUUUGUACUAUACCCCCAAAUGAACUAAUUAAUAGGUUUUUUGAUAAUAGUCCUGAACGAGUUAAGGAAGCUGUAAAAAAUAUUCUAUUUAACAUAAUGGGUAAUAUUCAAAAAUAUGCAAUCGAAACAUUUAUAUUGAUGAGUUAUGAAAAAUUAUAUAAUUUCCUUUUACAAAUAAUUUUAACAGGGUAUAUGCUAAAAAAUGCUGACUAUCGUUUAAGUUUGAAUGAAUCAUUUUAUGAGCAAAACAAUUUAAUACAAAAUAAAAAAGAACGCGAUGUUUCUAAAUUAAAAAAAAAUUUUUAUACUUUAUUUAAUGAUAAUACAAAUUAUAAAAAUAAUAACAAACAAACUUUUAACGCAGCUGAAUUGUUAGCAAAAUACCAUGAAAUAUAUGGUAAUAAAAAGGAAAACAAAAAUAAAAAAAUAAAUAAUGACACACAAGAGGAAGAGAAGGACCAUGUUGUUAAGGGAGACAAUGAUAUAUCUUAUCAACAAGGGGAUGAAAGCGAAAGUGAUGGAAGUAGUGAAGGUAGUAAUAAAGAAAAUGAUACUAGAACUAGUACUACUGUAAAUGGUAGUACAACUAUAAAAGAAGUAAUCAAUAGCACUACCAAUAAAACAUCAACUGAUACCCAAAACAUAACGGAUGAAUAUCCUAUUAUAAAUUCUAAAAAUUAUAUUUUAUUUUUAAGAAAAAAAAUUAAUUUAUUAGAAGAAGAAUUAAAAAAAACAAAACAAAAUAAAAAAUUUACAGAUGAUGACUUACUUUCUUAUAUUAAGUCAUUAACUGAUGUACAAUUACGUUCACUAACAGAUAAUGUAGGUUCUUUGGUUCUAGAUGCGACUAAAAAAAUAGUUGAAUUAGUAAUACAAGGUAUGACAUUAAAUGUUAAUAAAAAUUUAGCAAACGAAUUAAUAUAUAUUAAUGGUUCAGCUUUAACAUAUAUUUGUUUUUGGCAGUUAAUUAAUGGCUAUACAUUAAGAGAGAUGGAAAUAAGAGAUGAGUUAUCAGAUUAUUUAAACGGGGAAGAGUAGCGCAUAUAAAAAUAUAGGCAACAUACAUAUUUAUAUAACUACUUUCGUGCAUAAAUUAUGUA
ensembl:lncRNA